CUACGGGCGGCUCCAGUCGAGAAUCAUUCGCAAUGGGCGAAAGCCUGACGAUGCGACGCCGCGUGAAUGAAGAAGGCCCUCGGGUUGUAAAGUUCUUUCGCCUGGGAACAAGAGGAGGAGGCAAACAGUCUCUGAAUUUGAGUGUACCAGGUAAAGAAGCACCGGCUAACUCCGUGCCAGCAGCUGCGGUAAUACGGAGGGUGCAAGCAUUAAUCGGAAUCAUUGGGCGUAAAGGGCGAGUAGGCGUUUUGACAAGUCAGGUGUUAAAGACCAUGGCUCAACCAUGGGAGAGCAUUUGAAACUGUUGAAAUGGAGGGCAGUCGGAGGAAAUGGAAUUCCGCAAGUAGCGGUGAAAUGCGUAGGUAUGCGGAAGAACACCGGUGGCGAAGGCGGUUUUCUAGGCUGCAGCUGACGCUGAGGCGCGAAAGCAAGGGGAGCAAACAGGAUUAGAUACCCCGGUAGUC
rnacentral:rRNA from 1 species